rnacentral:rRNA from 1 species
GACGAACGCUGGCGGCGUGCCUAAUACAUGCAAGUAGGACGCACAGUUUAUACCGUAGCUUGCUACACCAUAGACUGUGAGUUGCGAACGGGUGAGUAACGCGUAGGUAACCUACCU